CCGAUAAUAUUAUUUUAUAAUGGGUCGAUUAAUUUAAGUGGAAAAUUAAAUCAUACACGUCAGUUAUGUGGCGUCUGGAAAUUGCUAUAGUAGACUUUUAUUUUCUUGAAAACGAAACCAUAAAUAUAAUAACACUUUUUGUCAAAAUUGAUUGAUGGUAAAACCGACGGUUGCUUAUCGUUUUGGACCAGAACUUCCAAGAAUAAUUCAUUUAACAUUUCUGCUCGGUUGUGUUGGGUUGGCAAGCUCCAAUGAUAAUUGAGACAAAUUGGAGCCAUACAAUUGGAGGGACAUAUAUAAUUGUUCCAGCAUAAUACUUUUCAAAAAGAAAAAAAAAAAUUGUUGCAGCAUAAUAAUAAUUGAUGCAACUAUUUUGUUUUCUGUCCCUUCUCAUCCUACUUACAAAUUGGAUACGAACCCUAGUCUCAUGAUCUUUGGUGAAUUUAUGUAAACCACACGGGUGUUGAUUUAUUCAAAUUAAUUCGUCAACGAUCACACCAUUUAACUUAAUUGAACAUCACAAUCGUUGAAAUUGAUCAUAUAAUCACUUUAACUUAAUUAGGAGGAACCCCGCAAUAAGUGAUAUUGAAAUAUAAUGAGAAUCACGUUUAAAUAUUUAAUUUUCUUGUUUUUUGACUUUUAUGUUAGAAGAUAAAUAAAAAUGCACGACAGUUUAAAUUGAAAACCCACUUGGGAUUUCACGGUCUAGAGGGACUGAUCAAAGUUUCAAAAGUCAUUACUGAAAAAUGACCAAUCUUUAUUUAAUUAAAUGAUUAAUUGUUUAGAGGAAGCUUUAUUAUUUAAUUAUAUUCUAAUAAUUAAUAUAUAAAAAUGGAUUACUGUUUAAUAAUUUAAAAUAACUAAUAGUAAAUACGUAAAUAUAAAUAAAGUUGAAUAGCAUUAAUUUAAAAUUAAUAGUAAUAUAAAUAAUAAUAUAAAAUAAUAUGACAUAUGCUAUAGUACAUAUUGCACCAAACAUUAUAUUAUAUGACAGUUUACUACACCUUAGUGUAAUACAUCGUAUUGCAAAUAUAUCUAAUGCAAAAUAAUAUCAUGUUCCAAACGCACCCUAAAAUUAUAAAUUCACUUAUUGGAGGCAAGGCAAUUGUUGUCUGGUGAGACUUGGGAGAAAGUAAGGGGAUAACAAUCUUGAUAACAUUCUACUUCAUUCAUCUUAUAUAACUAGUGAUUAAUUUGUUGUAAUACUAAAACCCGAUUUAACAAAAGUAAUCUUGACACAUCAUAACUCAAAUUUUUUAAAGAUAAUUAAUGAAAUGCCUCUAAAAAAAUAUGUGACCUUCAAUUUAUCGUCUUGGUAUAUUUUAGUGUCUGUUUAUUACGUAUGAUCAAAUGAAUGCCAAAAGAAUGAGUUAAGGAUGGACGGUACUCUUAGUUUAUUUCAAUGUUUUUGAAAGCACCAUUUAAUAAUAACAAAAUAAUAAUAAUAAUAUAGUAAUAUAAUGUCGUCGACUUUUCUUGUAAUUUUGGUAUUACAUUUACAUCAUGUAUGACAUCUAUGGCUAAUAGUAUUGUCCUUAAAAAAAUAUUGUCUUAUAGGAAUUCUCCACCGUCCGUUUGCUGAGCGGAUGAAACUAGCAACAAGUUGUUGCAAAGCAAAUUUUAAACUAGCAAGUAGCAAUAAAAAGGAGCAUGAUGUCAACCGCAAACGGCAGAACUAUAUGGGGUGAUAGAUUUGAUUUUGAGCUCCACUCACAUAAAAUUAGAUGAAAAGCUAUAUAUAAAUUACUCACUCCAUUGUUAUUAUCUAAUUUGGCCUCAUAUCUACUACCAAAAAAGAGAGCAAUUAAAAAACGGUGAAGAGGAUAACAUUAAAAACCAAGUGAAACUUGUUAGUUCUCUCGUUAAAAAACAUUUUACAUUAGAACUAUGAGUCUAUGACAUCAUAAAUUGGACUUAUUUUGGGGCGAAGGUGUCGUAUCAUGAAGCCCAAGAGGGUACAAGAAUGCUAGGGUGUUUAAUAAACGGGCCUGGAGUCCAAAAAUGCAAAGUGACCACAAUUGCAUCAUUUAUUAUUAUUGUUCGUUGAUUAAUGCGUAUUAUAUUAUCACAAAUAAAAAUGUACAACUAAAAUUUGACACAUUUUAAUUAUCCAAUAUAAAUAUGAUACGAAUAAAUCGUUAAAUUUGACACAAUUAUUAAAUAAAUCUAAUUCAUUUUGACACAUUUUUUUUCCAAGUCAGGUUAAGGUUAAAGAUCUUGUUCUAUUUACCAUGAUUAAUGAUACAAUUAUAUUUUCUAAUAUAAAUUAAUCUGUAGGUUCUUACCAUCAAAACUUAAAUAUUGGACAUUAUUCUUUUUUUUU
rnacentral:lncRNA from 1 species